ACAGGGAGCCACAUGAGAGCGGCUGAAGAGCGGCUGAAGAGCCGCAGGUUGCAGACCCCUGCUUUAGGUGGUGUUAACCUUGGAGUGAUGUGUACAAUAGUCGUGACCCCUUUUAUUCUGAAAAGCUCUGACCGGAACUUCUAGUCCUCCUAUUUCCGGUGAAACAUAAACAUAAACAGCUCGGUGAUGAAGACAGGCUGCUUACGGUGGACAGUUUGAGAUACACAGUGGUGGAUGUUUCCCUACCCUGGAUCUCUCCACUCCAGUGUAGAAAAUAAUGGAAACACCAUAUGACAGAAGACUUUGGAGCACCUAAGUCUUACAGGACCUGCUACCUGCCUGCCAGUUGGGAUCAUCUGUCCACUGUCAACACUUAUUUUCAACGCAAUAUGAGUGACUUAACAGAAUUUGAAAGAUGCCAAAUAGUUGCUGCACGACUAUCAGGUGCAUCUGUCACAAAAACUGCACAGCUGUUUAAUGUGGCGAGGGGAACAGUAUCCAGAGUCAUGACCGUGUACAUCAAACAUGGACGAACAGCAUCAGCGAAGAAGAAUAGCGGGCGCAGGUCAAAGCUCACCGAAAAGGACAGACAGACACUUCUCAGGAUAGUCGACGAGCACCCGGAGUAUACGGCCUCAAAAAUAACCACAGAGUUGAACAGACACCUCUCUCACACCGUCUCAGUAAAGACUAUACGGCGUGAGCUUCACAAAGCCGGUAUUUUUCGGGGAGCAGCCAGUCGGAAACCAGAGACCGAGACUGAGACAGAGAAGCCAGAUGGAAAUAACAACACACCUGACACAGAUUGUGGCACACAGAAACCUGGUGAAGAGAGCACAAGACCUGAAAUGCAAACAAAUGACAAAGAUUAUGGCACACAAACAUCCGUGGGAGACAAAACAAUAUCUGAACCCCAGGCUAGUGCCAAAGAGUACAACACAGAAAAAUCUGAAGAGAGAAUACAACUCUAAUCCCAAGUCUGUGAAGAAGAGUACAGCACACAAACGACUGGUGAAGAGAGCACAGGACCUGAACCUCAGACUAGUGAAAAGGAAUAACCUGUUACAUUUCAGCCUUUCCAUAUUGGUAGUGUUAAGGGAAAACCACAGAAUGCCUUCAUCCCUUAAUGUUGCCAACUGUUGAAUGUGACCAUUGAUCUGAAAUGACAUUUCAUUUUCUAGAUUUUAUUAUUUAUUUUUUGCGUGCAUGCAUAAUUGUGCAAUAUUCUGCCUUUUCCCAAGCUUUUUCAAUUUUCCUGAAUUACAUGUAAACAUAAUUUAAAUGUAGACUGUUGAGAAAUAGCCUUAAUAGUUUAAAAUAUCCAUAAUGUGAAUGUUUAACAGCUUAUUAGGAUAUUGUUUGCAAAACACUCAAUUCAAUACAGAUAAUAAAAUCCCAAAAAUCACAGUUUGUUCCCGAUUUGUAGACCAACGCCGUGCUGUGAUGAUAUCUGCUGUUUUACACCAUAUUGUGAUUGUUUGUGUUGUACUGUAAAGCAUGGCCUUUUUGGGGUUAUACAGUAUGUAUCAAAAAAACUCUUAACGAUAAGGUGUGAAAUCAAGCAGCAACUACAAUCCUGCAAGAGUCUUAAAAUAUAGUUCCUCUACUGUCACCGUAAAAAAAAAAAAGAAGCUUACUUUUUGAAAUAUGAAGUUGUUGCAGAUAAAGCACCUUUGUCUACUUUUAUAAAAUGUAGAUGAUAUGAAAUGUUUGACAUAUUCACAGGCACUACUUACUCUUUGCUGCAAAUGUAUUGAGUGAUAAUUGAUACACCAUAAGGUAUUGAAUCUGAAUCAUCACAUCCCUCCCAUGCUACCUCUUUGCUUCUGUAUACUAAAUGUCAUGUUUAUAGCAGCUGCAUGUGCAUAGAUGUGGGAUGGGACACAAGGCAUCAGGCAACAUAUGUAAUUUUGUUCUACAUAUUAAAACAUUACACUGAAAAAAA